rnacentral:tRNA from 1 species
GGUUUUUUAGUUUAAAAAAUAUAAAUCUUGUAAAUUUAAGAUGCUUAGGGGCAUAAACCU